CUUAACGGGAGAUUGGCCUUUGAUACUGCAGGUCUUGAGUCUAGCUGAGGUAGGCGGAAUGUAGUAUGUAGCGGUGAAAUGCAUAGAUAUACUACAGAACACCCAUUGCGAAGGCAGCUUACCAAACUAGCACUGACGCUCAGGCACGAAAGCGUGGGGAGCAAACAGGAUUAGAUACCCUGGUAGUCCACGCCGUAAACGUUGAUCACUCGUUGUUGGCAAUACACCGUCAGCGACUCAGCAAAAGCAGUAAGUGAUCCACCUGGGGAGUACGAUCGCAAGGUUGAAACUCAAAGGAAUUGACGGGGGCCCGCACAAGCGGAGGAGCAUGUGGUUUAAUUCGAUGAUACGCGAGGAACCUUACCCGGGCUUAAAUGUAGCGUGCAUGGGGAUGAAAAUCUCCUUUCCUUCGGGACCC
rnacentral:rRNA from 1 species